rnacentral:lncRNA from 1 species
UAUCACCAUUGCCAACAAAUAAACCUACUGUAACAAUAUCAUCAUUGCCAACAAAUAGCCCUACUGUCAUAACACCACCAUUGCCAACAAAUAGCACUACUGUUUCAAGUA